rnacentral:piRNA from 1 species
UGCCACGACCGUCCUCGACUGUUUUGA